CUGGAGUUUAGUGCCCCAGAGCUCUUUAGAUACAACUUGUUUCUAGGCCCAGCACAGGGCUUGAGUUUCUAAUCUGGUUUAUUUCUGACUACUCUAAAGUGUGCUGGCUCCAAGGAAGGCCUAGUUACAGUUUAAGUGAGACGCUUGGGAUGCAGCACAGCGGGAACGGAGAGGAGAUGAAGCACUGCUCAAAUUGAUUUUGGAGACAACUUCUGCAAGUAUCUCUUCUUCUUGUCUCCUCCUUUUCCUCCCCGUUUCUUGCUCCCCUGAAAAAAUAAUUGUUUGUGGAGAGAUGCUGGAGUUUGCAAUGAGUGAGGAGGAAAUGCCUUAGCAGGGAAACAAGGGAAAGUAAACUGACUCAGUAAAAGUUGACGUUGAAUCCAUUUUAGGGGGUAUUAUUUCAGUUGCUGAAAUAAAGGAAAAGGCAGAAAAGUUAAGGAAUUAGAUAAACUGGAAUUGCAUCAGUUUCUCUCUGAGCUGGGUGGAGAAUUGCUAUUGUUUUGUGGGAUAAUACACUGCCCUGUCCAAGGGAGAUUUGUGAGGCUCAGUAGCUGUCACUCUUUCCCAACAAAUCAUGGGAAGGAAAAGUCAUAUUAUCUGCCACUCAAACCCUGGACCAAGUUCCAGUCACAGCCAUCCUCAUGGU